UAUCAACGCAGAGUCCAUGAAACUAAAGAGGAUUUGAAACAUUGUGGGAACUCAUUAUGCAAUAUGACGUCACAACUUGGAUAAAUUGGAAAUAACAAAAACGUGAAA